GAGAAAUUAAAUUGUUACAAAUAUUAAAUCUAUAUAGGCUAAACUAUUACAAAAAGCGAAAUUUGAUGGACUAAUUUGUAAUUUACCUUAAACAGAACCAGUAACUCCAAGGCAAUUCAGUUAUUUUACAAUUUAGAAAAGCAUGCUUUGUCCUGAGCAUUCUCUAAGGCUGGUAAUAGUAUCAACAUCGUGAUCUCCUUUUUAUUGUUGGAUGUCAGUAUUCCCCUUUCCUUCCAAAAUAUUUGCUGCUUCAAUGCUAUCAUUAAUAAUCUAAUGACCCUUGAUAUAACUAAAACUUCAGAGUUCAAAAGAAGAGCUAAAGCUAGAAAAAUUGUUACAUUUUGAAGAUGCAGAGCAUGUUUGCCUAACUAGCUAAACAUAUUCUCCAGAAAUGAUGGCAUAUAAUUGCUUGGCUGUCCAUGUUGAUUCGACAAGGCUUUGCAGUGGAACUGCAAUCUCUUCUGCAAUUGUCAUUAACAAAACCCUGCAUUCUGGAAUCUUACUGAAAUUAAGCAAUGACAUUGAAGCAAGAACCUUGUGCUCGAUCCGGUGACCAUUUUCCAAGCUUUCUUUCAGAUUAGAUAUGAGGGCGGAGAAGGCAGAGAGGUGGAACUCGGCAUCAGAUAGUGCAGAAAGUGCACAGCUCAACCAUGCAAUAGUGGUUAGGCAUGCCUUCACUAAAUCUAAGUUUCCAGAAGCUAAGCACUUUGAAAUGACCUCUAAGAAUGAUUUCCUUCCAUUACCAAGUAAAGAUGUUGACAAGUUCCUGAGCCACUCAUCGAUAGUUUCUUCAUCUUCCAAUAAAAAAGAGUCAUCAAGUGAUAAAUUGUAUUCUUGAGAAUUCAUUUCAUAAUUAUUGUUAAACCCUGAUUGCUUUAGUAUCCAACUUUCUGUCAAUGACUUCCCAGAAGCAGAAAAACGUCCUCCCAAGGCAAGAAGUGCUCUGCAAGACUUUUCUCGGAUCUUCUCAUCAUUUAAACUAUCUUCUAGCGCUACUGCAAUGGCAUCAACAGCUUCCUCUCUGUAUAUGCUAUACUUCUGAGGUUCAACCAAAAGAUCAAGAUGCAAAAGAAGUAGAGCAACCCAGGGCCUUUGCUCAGGUGGAGAAUUUUGAAGAUACAUGAGCAAGAUGUGCAUUGCAUUCAUUAUCUCCUCAUUCUGCAACCCACUUAAAAAUAAUUUAACAUCCUUCCUCCUGCUAAGACAAAGUAAUUCAGUCAUCAGAAACACUGCAUUUCUUCUAGCAUUAGGAUGCUUGCUAUGGAGUAGCUCAAAGAGGCACUGUUUAUCAAUCUUUUGGGCUAUCUGAUUUCUGCAACUUCCAUCUGCUUCGAUACAACAGGAUAAGAAAGCUACCACUCGCGUUUUCUCUUCCACAUUUCCCAAUUUAAUCCGUCUAAUAAGAAAUUCCAAGCCUCCUAUAGAGACAAGGUGUUUGGCAUUUGCUAAUCUUUCCUUCCUUCUGAAAGUAGUAAGAAGCCUCUCUAAUAUAAGCAUUGCAGUUUUAUCCCUUUGCCUUGAGUCAUGCUUUCCUGAAUUCCUAAAUAUUUGAGAGGCAAGAGCCAAUAGAUGACUACAAUGCUCUAAUUUCCAACCAUCAAUAAUACGCUUCAAAAUAAAAUUUGUAAAUGGCACAGUUGGACAUUCCAAAGUUUUCCCUGUUACAGGACAUGUUCUGUUUCCCAGAUUAAACCAUUCCCUGAUAACUUCUUUCUCAAAGGUUUGUCCAGUCUCCAGGGUCACUGGUUCCUCAAAUAACUUUCCAGAGAGGGGACAAAUGAAGUCCUCAGGUAUGCUUGCAAGAAAGGAUCCUUUAUCAAAAUAUUCAUAGGUUCCAUCUAACUCUUCAUAAGAAGCCAAUGCAUUGACAGGCUCACUGGUGUGUGAAAGAGCAGAAACAGUUAGAUCACCAGAAUCCUCAGUUUGUUGCAGUUCAAAAACCGAUUUUGCUAGGUUUUUGAGGAUCAACUCAUUUGAUUUUGUAUGUGAAAACGUGUUUACCAUAUGACCAUCUCCUGCAUUUUCUUCUUGUCCAUUAGAGUUACACCUCUUACUAUUGAUGUCAGCUUCUAGAAAAGCACUCGCUUUAAUCAACUUCCAUUCUUCCUUAGAUGCUGAUAAGAGCCCAUGAUCAGAAAGGAUUGUGUUAUCUUGUUCAUUCUUGCAGUAAUCAUUGUCCAUAUCCUGAUCCAGAUAUUUAACAAUUUCUGAAGGAUAUGUCAAUGUUUGUUUGACUUCAGCAGCAGAACCAUCAGAGGAUGUUGCAACAUUAUUGAAGUUAUGUGCCUCCCCAUCAUAUUCAGCCUCAUAAAUUUCAGGUUUACUUGAAUGGCCAAAUACAGAUUCAUACAGCUUCUUACUAACCAUUGGCUGAGGUGAGAAAUUAUCAGAAGAUCUACUGAGACCUGAAGAAUGAUCCUGUGAAUCUGGCUGCUGAACUUCCCGAACAGACAAGGUAGGGAUAUGUAUAGAAGGAAGCGAAGGGGCUUCAACCCCCUCAGUAAGCCAGUCCUUGUAGUAAACUGCCAGCUGGUAAGUACUGGAAUCCAGAAUUUCAUUAUAAACUUUGUCAAGAAGUUUAAGUUUCCUCAUCUUGCUUGGUGUGUUCAGAAGAGAAUCAGCUUCCUGAUUGUACCAUCCCUUCAAAUGUGAAAGAUGUGGAAAAAAAAGAUAGUCCCACAGUUCAGGCAACAAAAGUGUUCGAGCUGGAAAUGGAGAAUCACAAAAUACUUGCAAAAGAUAUCUAGCUGAAACCCUAUCCUUCUUCUGUAGCUUAUAUAUCACACUGAGGUAAAGAUGAGCACAAGCUGACAGCCUGGAAUUCGGAAUUCCUGAUGUAUAUCCAUCUUUCAAACCAUUCGAGUUCAAACUUGUGAUCAUGCGUAGCUGCAGUGAAGCUUUUUUCAAAUCCUUUGUGCUUGCAGCCUCCUCAGUAGCCUUUUCCACUAUUUCAAUUGCUUGUUCAAGAUUGGUAAUGACUUUGCUCUUAAUGUUGUGGUCUUGUCCAUUUUCCAUAAAAUUAAGGGAAGAGAAACAAUUGUGACAAAGCGUGCUACGGAAUUCCUCAUCUUUCAGGAAACGCUUAAUGUAACCAUUUAAGAUGGAGACCAUGGCUCUGACAGCAACUUCAUCAAGAGCAAGUUUAGAAAAUGGAAGUGAAAGAUUCUCAUGCUUCAUUCCCUGAUCAUCUUCAAAGUUCUUGGCAUUCUUGGAACUUCUAAUGGAACUGUCAUAAGAUGGAUCAGGCUGUCUCAUGGUUUUCUUAUUGCUAUCAGUAAAUGCAGUAUAUUUUAGCAAAUUUUUGUUAGAAUUGCUACUUCCUGUCUGAUCUACUUUUAUAUUGUUUCCUUUCCUUUCUAUGUACAUCUGCUUCCCCCUAUUUCCUUCAGAGGAUUUCUCACUCCUCUCUGAAUUAUAUGCUCUAUCAGAAUAUAUAUCCUUAACUCUCUCAUCUUCUUCCACACCAAUCUCAGUUAUUUCACAGCCAUCAAUAUCUUCUGAAUUAAGUGUCUUAUUAUUCUGGACAUCGUUUGAAACUCGGUGGACAGGUCUUUCCCAGGUUUCUAUCUUUGAUUUUCCAUCUAUUUUUUCCCUUGAAACCAGAUUAUCCCUAGGUCUCCUGCUUAAGCUACUAUCACUUCUUGGCAAUUCACCUCUCAAAAUGUAUCGAGAAACAUCAGAUCUGGUCCUUUCAGUCUUAAUUCUGCGGCCUGAUAGACCUGAUGGAGAGUCGGUCUUUGAUUUGUCUCGAGAAGGGUGAAGAGACUUAAUCACAGCUUCUGCUCGGAAUGAAGCUCUUGAUGUCAUCCCUGAUCUUCUUCCUCUAAACCCUUCCUCUACAAGAAGGUCCUCCAAAGAUGAUGCCAUUUCUGCUGAUAACAGAAUCUACCUCACAUGAAGCUACUUUUCACGAUCGAAUAUCAAACAAAUCGCAUUAUUUUUGCGAAACAACUUGUGGGUUCGACUUCUUUUGCGAUGAUUAGAGGGAAUGUAGGAGAAUAUUAGGAGGGGAGGAGAAGGGAAUAAAGAAGAUGCUUGAUGAGCAAAACCCAUUCAAAAAAAGGUGGUGUGCGUUGUCUAUAAAGC
rnacentral:misc_RNA from 1 species